UACGGAGGGUGCAAGCGUUGUUCGGAAUUACUGGGCGUAAAGGGCUCGUAGGCGGCCAACUAAGUCAUACGUGAAAUCCCUCGGCUUAACCGGGGAACUGCGUCUGAUACUGGAUGGCUUGAGUUCGGGAGAGGAAUGCGGAAUUCCAGGUGUAGCGGUGAAAUGCGUAGAUAUCUGGAGGAACACCGGUGGCGAAGGCGGCAUCCUGGACCGAUACUGACGCUGAGGAGCGAAAGCCAGGGGAGCAAACGGG
rnacentral:rRNA from 1 species